UACAGAGGUCUCAAGCGUUGUUCAGAAUUACUGGGCGUAAAGGGCGUGUAGGCGGUGCCUAAAGAAUAUAGUCAAAUCUUCAAGCUCAACUUGAAAUCGCUAUAUUUACUGAGGUGCUAGAGUAACGAAGAGGUGACUGGAAUUUUCAGCGUAGCAGUGAAAUGCGUAGAUGCUGAAAGGAACAUCAAUGGCGAAGGCAAGUCUCUGGUCGUUUACUGACGCUGAGGCGCGAAAGCUAGGGGAGCAAACGGG
rnacentral:rRNA from 1 species